CAGAAGGGGUGGAGCCAUGCUCCCCCCCUUCCUACACCCCAUUUAAGGGCUGACUCUCAAGGAGGAAGGAUCUUUAUCUGGUGCUCAUCCCUCUUGGAAUCUUUCUGUGAGCCCAGAACAUGGGACUAAACGUGAAAAAGAUGUUCUUCAUAGAACAUGACACAAUCCCACUCUUGGACAGCCUGGAUGACGGAACGCAAAAGAGUGUACAGUGCCUCCCCCCGUUGCUCACAUGCCCUGACUCAGUGCUGCUGGCAGGGAUGAAUGGAGCACAGCGUGAGGUCAGCUCCCAGACAGCACUGUCCCAGCCCCUCCCCGGGAACGUCACAAAGGACCCACCACCCAUCUGCGUGGGCACCCAUUUCUGAAGGGCUUUGAAUAUGUCUCCUGCAAAGAUAUCUGAGGCAGUCUACCCACCUCUAGGCAAGGGCAAAGCAUCCCUUCUUGUUCUCUAACCUACAUGUGGACCGCCAACAGAGAACAUUUCACUCACUGAAGCAUUUAAGAGACCAAAAAGAGAAAGCAAGCCAAAGCUGUGAAAAAAGUCCCUGGAGCAGAAAAAGGAAAAAAAGAUCAUAAAUUAAAAACAUAAAAAAACAGUUGCAGUGGAUUAAAAGGGCACUUUCCCAGGACACUGUAGAAUGGAGCUGUUGUGGCGCUUUCUAGCUGAGGUACAUUGUAGAUAUCUCAGGCCAUGUCAUACACCACGCUCCUCCAGACCUGUUCCUGUGCUUUGCUCAGCACUCAAUGCUGUCUGUCUCGUGACUGCACCAAAAGUAGGAGCAGCCAAG
rnacentral:lncRNA from 1 species